CCACCUCUUCCCAUUCCGAACAGAGAAGUUAAGCUCACUCACGCCGAUGGUACUGCCUAUUUAGGUGGGAGAGUAGGUAGCCGCCUCUU
rnacentral:rRNA from 1 species